UACGGGGGGGGCAAGCGUUGUUCGGAAUUACUGGGCGUAAAGGGCUCGUAGGCGGCCAACUAAGUCGGACGUGAAAUCUCCAGGCUCAACCUGGGAACUGCGUCCGAUACUGGAUGGCUUGAAUCCGGGAGAGGGAUGCAGAAUUCCAGGUGUAGCGGUGAAAUGCGUAGAUAUCUGGAGGAAUACCGGUGGCGAAGGCGGCAUCCUGGACCGGCAUUGACGCUGAGGCGCGAAAGCCAGGGGAGCAAACGGG
rnacentral:rRNA from 1 species